UACGUAGGGUGCGAGCGUUGUCCGGAAUUAUUGGGCGUAAAGAGCUCGUAGGCGGUUUGUCACGUCUGCUGUGAAAUCCCGAGGCUCAACCUCGGGCCUGCAGUGGGUACGGGCAGACUGGAGUGCGGUAGGGGAGAAUGGAAUUCCUGGUGUAGCGGUGGAAUGCGCAGAUAUCAGGAGGAACACCGAUGGCGAAGGCGACACGCUGGGCCGUACCUGACGCUAAGACGCGACAGCAUGGGGAGCGAACGGG
rnacentral:rRNA from 1 species